CGGCGAGGAGCUGGGGUGUGUGUGAGGAGGGGGUGUGGGCCUCGCGCUCGAGUUUUUAAAAAGUGAGCGGCUGUUGGCCAGAAUGGCGGUGUGCUAUCGGUGCGUGGAGUGCAAUGAGGAGGCGCAAGAACUUCACAGGGACUAUAGCCACGGCGUCAUCAAGAUAACCAUCUGUAAAUCAUGCCAGAAACCGGUUGACAAGUACAUUGAAUAUGACCCAGUGAUCAUACUCAUUGAUGCAAUCUUGUGCAAAGUGCAAGCUUAUAGGCAUAUCAUCCUCAAUACUAAAAUUAAUAUUCAUUGGAAGCUGUGCAUAUUCUGCUUGUUGUGCGAAGCAUAUCUUCGAUGGUCACAGCUACAGGAUUCACAGCAAGCUGUUGAUCCGACAGAUAUAAUUCGUUAUGCCAAAGAGUGGGAUUUCUACCAAAUGUUUGGAUUAGCUAGUUUGGAACUAGCAGCAUUCCUCAGUGGGACAUUUUUCAUUUUGUGGUUAACAAACAAAGAUUUCAUCCAGAAGAAAUCAAACUGCAACACAUUGCUAAUAGCUUUAUUACUGUCUGGCUAUGGGAAACUCCUUGUGAUUCCAGCUGUGAUCUGGGAACAUGACUAUUCACCACUAUACAUUGGCCUCAUCAAGUUCUUUGUGCUUGCGUCAAAUGCACAAGCCGUCAGAGUAGUGUUGAAUAGCAGCAGGAGAUUUGCAUUGUCUGUCAUUUUUGUUGGAUGGAUGGUGGAGCAGUUAGCAGCCUGCAUCUUUCAACAGCUCCAAUUGACCUCAUAAGUGUAUCAGAAAUAUCUAAGAGCAUAAAUAUGGGAGAUAAUAAGAACUGGCUCGUCAGCCAUUUGAAUUGCUCCUUCCACAAAACUUUAUAGUUUCCACUGAUACACACUCUCUGCAACGAUCAUGUGAAAGAUUUUAACAGCCACAGCCAUUCUUUUCAUCCUUCGUCAGAUAAGGAGACCAAAGCUGCUCACAGUACUCCAGAUGUGAUCUCACCAAGGCCUUAAAAUUUGUCCUAUUGACAAGACAAGAUUACGAACUCCAAGGUCCUGGAUUGUGCUAAUUCCAUCAGCGUGCAUUCAUUGGUAAGCUAACAAUGUCUGCACUGGCUCAGCCAUAUUCAAUACAUGAAUGAUUGCUGUAUGCUCAGACUUUCUGUAUUGUGAAUUGGUCACUGGAUCACAGGAUCACAGUUUUCUCGGCAUGGGUCCUCUGCUGCAUGAACAUCAGUAAGCGACAUCAUAAGACAGUAGAUAUUGACACUGACGUCUGGAAGAUGACUCCCUGGAAACCUUCAGUCUGACUGAAAGAUGGGAGUGGAAAUGCUAGGCUAGCUGGUGAAGAGACCCCAAAAAAAACUGAAACCAGCAAAUCCAGCUCCUCCUCAGUCUUCCUCUGUCAUACCAGAGUGAGCUCCUGAGCUACAGCAGGUGAUACUUAACUGAGAUGACUAACACUGUGCAAAUCAUUGUCUUGCAAGAUUGAAGACUGGCCCCCUCUCUGAAGCCAGGAAAUGUGAUGCACGAUACCCGGUCUUGCUCUUGUAGCCAAAGUAUUUCUAUGGCUGGUCUAUAAAAUCCAUUUCUAAUCAAUAAUAACUCACAUUUCAGAGAGGGAGGCAAAUGUUUAUAGUUUGAGGGGCACUAAUCUGCAUUAAACAUGGCUGACCAGAAACUUCUAAAGCAUCAAAGUGACAGGUCCCACUUUACCUGUCUCUGUUAUGGGUGCAUCUGUUUUUGGUUGAACCCUGUCAGCUCCAUUGUGAUUUCAAGCACUUGAGGGUUGACCUCUCAUUACCAUGGCUGCUUAUGGUAAACCCCUGAUUGUUAAUGGUGGCUGAUAAAUGUCAAAGGAAGAUGGUUAGAUUCUCUCUUUAUAAAUGAUUGUUGCCUGGGAAGUAAAAGCUACUGUUUGUGAAAGUUGACCAUAAUUUUAAAUAAAAGUGAAAGUUUUAAGUGA